rnacentral:lncRNA from 1 species
CUUAUCUCAGGUCUAAGAAGGUUAAUUCACAGCUAAUUAACUCAUCAAUAAUAGCUGAAUUCUCAGUUUAGAACAGCCAAGAGCAAAAAUCUGAAAUCGCUACUCAAAUCGACGAAUAGAACGUCGAUAACGGAAAAAUCAAGUCGUUUACCUUCUCAAGCUUCCAACCAGCACCUCACUGGUCCAGGGCUGCGAAAAUCCCUCCAAAACGCUCUCUUGCACGUGCACAAAGGUGCUGCGACGCUCGCAACCAGCGAAGAACGCGCGCGGCGACGAAAACGAGCGAAAUCGGCGAAUUCGAUGUAGAGAGAGAAAAACCCUAGAGAGAGAGAGAGAGAUGAAGAAGAAGGGUGCUCUGA